rnacentral:tRNA from 1 species
CGAAAAUUAGCUCAUCUGGUAGAGCAGUUGGUGUAUCGCCAACCUGUAGUAGGUUCAAUUCCUACAUUUUCAACCA